rnacentral:rRNA from 1 species
UGAACGCUGGCGGCGUGCCUAAUACAUGCAAGUCGAACGCAUUGUGGUUGAAAUGAUAUGAAGAACUUGUUCAGAUUUGAUUUUCAACAUUGCAAUGAGUGGCGAACGGGUGAGUAACACGUGGGAAACCUACCUCUUAGCAGGGGAUAACAUUUGGAAACAAAUGCUAAUACCGUAUAAUAAUUAAAACCGCAUGGUUUUAGUUUAAAAGAUGGUCUUGCUAUCACUAAGAGAUGGUCCCGCGGUGUAUUAGUUAGUUGGUGAGGUAAUGGCUCACCAAGACAAUGAUACAUAGCCGAGUUGAGAGACUGACCGGCCACAAUGGGACUGAGACACGGCCCAUACUCCUACGGGAGGCAGCAGUAGGGAAUCUUCCACAAUGGACGAAAGUCUGAUGGAGCAACGCCGCGUGUGUGAUGAAGGGUUUCGGCUCGUAAAACACUGUUGUAAGAGAAGAAUGACAUUGAGAGUAACUGUUCAAUGUGUGACGGUAUCUUACCAGAAAGGAACGGCUAAAUACGUGCCAGCAGCCGCGGUAAUACGUAUGUUCCAAGCGUUAUCCGGAUUUAUUGGGCGUAAAGCGAGCGCAGACGGUUAUUUAAGUCUGAAGUGAAAGCCCUCGGCUCAACCGAGGAAUUGCUUUGGAAACUGGAUAACUUGAGUGCAGUAGAGGAAAGUGGAACUCCAUGUGUAGCGGUGAAAUGCGUAGAUAUAUGGAAGAACACCAGUGGCGAAGGCGGCUUUCUGGACUGUAACUGACGUUGAGGCUCGAAAGUGUGGGUAGCAAACAGGAUUAGAUACCCUGGUAGUCCACACUGUAAACGAUGAGUGCUAGUUGUUC